AAGGAAACCCUCCUGAGACAUCGGUCCUUUGGCGGCACAGGGCACGGGGAAUCAUCGUCACUGCUGUCCUUCUCCUCCUGGGUCUGGCCCUGGCCACGUCCCUCCUUGCUGUGAUACUUCUAGAUCUCCAGGCACAGAGCAAGCUGCAAGCGGUUGAAGAAGCGGUGCAGAAGCUCCAAGUCUCUCUGCAGCCUGACAACGCCUCGGACGCGUCAGCAAAGGGUUCGGACACUCUGCAGCUAUUGGAUGAAGCGCAGGCAGGAGUCCGGAAGCUGAAAGCCCAGCUGGGUAAAGUCAGUGCAGCGUAUGGAGAAAUCCAGAUCCAGCUGGACAACGUCAGUGCAGCGCAAGCAG